UUACGGUCAAAUCACGCUGAAACACCGGUUCUCGUUCGAUCACCGAAGUUAAGCAUCGUAGAGCCAGGUCAGUACUUGGAUGGGGGACCGCUUGGGAACACCUGGUACUGUAAG
rnacentral:rRNA from 1 species